rnacentral:rRNA from 1 species
UGGGGAAUAUUGGACAAUGGGCGCAAGCCUGAUCCAGCCAUGCCGCGUGAGUGAUGAAGGCCCUAGGGUUGUAAAGCUCUUUCACCGGUGAAGAUAAUGACGGUAACCGGAGAAGAAGCCCCGGCUAACUUCGUGCCAGCAGCCGCGGUAAUACGAAGGGGGCUAGCGUUGUUCGGAUUUACUGGGCGUAAAGCGCACGUAGGCGGACUAUUAAGUCAGGGGUGAAAUCCCGGGGCUCAACCCCGGAACUGCCUUUGAUACUGGUAGUCUUGAGUUCGAGAGAGGUGAGUGGAAUUCCGAGUGUAGAGGUGAAAUUCGUAGAUAUUCGGAGGAACACCAGUGGAGAAGGCGGCUCACUGGCUCGAUACUGACGCUGAGGUGCGAAAGCGUGGGGAGCAAACAGG